GUUAGCUAGCUUAAUUUGUUUCGUUUUCUGGUAUUUAAGCUAAAUUACAUGACCUCAAGGUGCAUCCCAAUACAGUUCAGUGUGAUGAUUUUCCAACCUAAUCCCGAUUAGUAAGUGAAUGAAUCGGCGAACGUGAUUGCACGCCCGUCCCAUAAAGAGGGUGUGGCGGAUUGGACCGGACGGGCGGACCUGAUCCGCAUUUCAAUAUGUAUAUAUAUGUUGACCGAGUGCCCGGCAAGUGGGUCGCAUUGCAGUGAUGUAAGCAUCGGAAUAAUUCGCAGUUGACUCAUUUGCCGGGAGCUGAGCUUCAAGAUCAGGCAAAUUCAUAUAUGGUGCUCAUUAUAUAUAUAUAUAUGGUGCUCUUAUAUAUAUAUAUUUAAAUAUAAAGAAAAAACACCAUGAAACUCGAGAGUAAAAGAGGAAAAUGAGGCUAUUAUAUGCUGAUAAGGGAAUUUAUGAAAACAACAAUACUUCUUAUAAAUUAAGAAAGAAAAUAUCAAAAGACAUUAAUAUUCUUAAAGGAAAUUAAAGGAAAGGGAAAUCUUGUGAAAUCAAUGUUAAGCUAGGAUGCAAUUUUUCACCAAUUUCUCGGCUCAGAUUAUGACUGAUCGUUGUGCUGUUAACGAAUAAUGUAAACAAGCCCCAGUUGACUCAUCAAUGCAAAUAAAUAUUUGCAUUUAGAUUAUUCUCCACUGACUAUAUUAAAAGAGUUUUGUGUCACAACUUGUAUACCAUAUAUACAAAUAUUAAAACAAGAUUUGUCGUACGGUUAACAACUGAAUGUGAAAUAUAUAAUUAGAUAACCCAAUCAGAAAUAAAUAUACACAUUUUCGGGGAAUUCGAUUAAUUAACGCAGAAAGACAACAUUAUAGAUUAUAAUAAAUAAUGACAAAUCGCUUAAUAUAUUUUAGAUAAAAUUUGGAGCUUUCAGACCAAAUGUCAUUGCAAAAACAAAAGUUGUUCCGAGUGGCUUUUUAUUUUUAUAUAUAGUAUUUCAGCAUUAUCUACUGAUUUGCUCUCUUUCGAGCUCACAAUAUCGCCGCAAUGAUUUCAUAUGUGCUUGGUCCAAAAAUAAAACCUGGAUCAUUGCGCCUAAGUGGGACACAAAAAUAAUAAACUGGCAACUAACAUACUAACAUACAUAUACUUUUGAUAAUUUUGUCAUGAAACUAACUUUUACAAUUUUCAAGGCAAUUACCUUUAGUAAAACCCACCUGGCAAAUGGGAAAUAAAGGCCAGUUGGACAAAACAAAAUGCGAUUGAAAAGAAUGAUCUAAUGUCGGCAUCAAGUUGGGCUACAGUUGGCUUUUUAGCAUGUAUUAGGCCGUUGGGAACCCCGAAAAAAAGAAUUCAGUAGGGGAGAGAUGUUAUGACAUCAUUGAGUCGGGAGCACGCAUUAAUUCAAGACCUUCGCACCAACAAGAAAUUCAAAAACAGAACCGGGUAUGAAAAACAACAAUAACUCCAGAGACGCAACAGGAAAUGGAAUAAAUUCGGGGAAGACGAAAGGAAGACGUUUAUGUACAAAAAAUAAAUAAUUGGAAUACAGUCAGCACUUUCAACUCGAAGCUGCAGCUGCCUCAUAUAAAAUUUGACUUUUAUCCAAUGUUUAUUGAAAUUUAACAGAUACAUUUUUGGUAAGAUGUUUAAAACCAACUUUUGACUCUACCAUCUCUAAUAAAAUAUUUUAUUGCUAUUA